rnacentral:rRNA from 2 species
CUGGUUGAUCCUGCCAGUAGUCAUAUGCUUGUCUCAAAGAUUAAGCCAUGCAUGUCUAAGUAUAAAAGUAUUCUAUACUUGAAACUGCGAAUAGCUCAUUAAAUCAGUUAUAGUUUAUUUGAUGGUACGUUACUACAUGGAUACCUGUAGUAAUUCUAGAGCUAAUACAUGCGCAAAGACCCGACUCGUGAGGGGAGGGUUGUAUUUAUUAGAUAAAAAACCAAUGCACCAGCAAUGGUGGUUUUGUGGUGAUUCAUAAUAACUGUUCGGAUCGCAUGACUCCAAGUCGGCGACAGUUCAUUCAAAUUUCUGCCCUAUCAGCUUUCGACGGUAGUGUAGUGGACUACCGUGGCAUUAACGGGUAACGGAGAAUUAGGGUUCGAUUCCGGAGAGGGCGCCUGAGAAAUGGCGACCACAUCCAAGGAAGGCAGCAGGCGCGCAAAUUACCCAAUCCUGACACAGGGAGGUAGUGACAAAAAAUAACAAUAACGGGCGUUUACACGUCUGUUAAUUGGAAUGAGUACAAUUUAAAUCCCUUAACGAGGAUCAAUUGGAGGACGAGUCUGGUGCCAGCACCCGCGGUAAUUCCAGCUCCAAUAGCGUAUAUUAAAGUUGUUGCAGUUAAAAAGCUCGUAGUUGGAUUUCUGGUCGGGCGCGCCCAGCCCAGCGGCUCAAACCGUUGAGUGCUGGAGUGCGCCUACCAUCCUUCUAGUGAACGGCGCUACCCUUUACUGGGCCGGUGUCGCCAGCUAGAUCUUUUACUUUGAAAAAAUUAGAGUGUUUAAAGCAGGCUUGCGCUAUGAAUACAUUAGCAUGGAAUAAUAAUUUAGGACUUUGUUUCUAUUUUGUUGGUUUCUAGGAAUGAAGUAAUGAUUGAUAGGAAUAGUUGGGGGUGCUAGUAUUCAGCGGCCAGAGGUGAAAUUCUUGGAUUCGCUGAAGACUAACUUAUGCGAAAGCAUUCACCAAGGAUGUCUUCUUUAAUCAAGAACGAAAGUUGGGGGAUCGAAGACGAUCAGAUACCGUCGUAGUCUCAACCAUAAACGAUACCGACUCGGGAUUAGUGGAAGUUGAAUUUUUGACUCCAUUAGCACCGUAUGAGAAAUCAAAGUCUUUGGGUUCCGGGGGGAGUAUGGUCGCAAGGCUGAAACUUAAAGGAAUUGACGGAAGGGCACCACCAGGAGUGGAGCCUGCGGCUUAAUUUGACUCAACACGGGAAAUCUCACCAGGCCCGGACACCGGAAGGAUUGACAGAUUGAGAGCUCUUUCUUGAUUCGGUGGGUGGUGGUGCAUGGCCGUUCUUAGUUGGUGGAGCGAUUUGUCUGGUUAAUUCCGAUAACGAACGAGACUCUAGCCUAUUAAAUAGACGAUAUAUCUUAUUAGUAUAUCGAGCUUCUUAGAGGGACGAGCAGCUUCUAGCUGCACGAGAUUGAGCAAUAACAGGUCUGUGAUGCCCUUAGAUGUCCGGGGCUGCACGCGCGCUACAAUGAAAAUAGCAGCGCGUUUCGAAAACCUUUUCUGGAAAGUAUUGGUAAACGCGAAAUAUUUUCGUGAUUGGGAUAGGGGAUUGCAAUUAUUGCCCUUGAACGAGGAAUUCCCAGUAAAUUCGAGUCAUCAGCUCGAGUUGAUUACGUCCCUGCCCUUUGUACACACCGCCCGUCGCUACUACCGAUUGGAACAUUGCGUGAGAUCUUCGGACUGACGUCGAAACGAAUGUAAAAGUUCGAUUCGCGCGUUGGAAAGAUGCUCGAAUGCAACGUUCUAGAGGAAGUAAAAGUCGUAACAAGGUUUCCGUAGGUGACCUGCA